AGUUAGAGAUGAGGCGCAUUGAUCAUUAUUAGAUAAGGUUUGGAAUCUGCAAGAUACCUUAUUGAAAGGGUGAUAUGCCGAAAUGUAUAUGUUAUUGCAGUAGCAUAUGCGUUGGAUUUGUAGUUAAUAGCUAUAAGUCUGUCAUUAUUUUCAAAAAUAAUGGGGUGCAUCGCUUGUA
rfam:Vagococcus teuberi strain DSM 21459, complete genome.